GACCAAGCAGAACACCAGGCCUUGAGCCUGAGUCUACCGGUUUGGCUGUGUGCUGAUGUCGUAUAUCUGAUGCUGGAGGGCUUGGAAGUGUAGCACAGGGGUGGAGUGCCUGGCAUGAGGAAAGAAGUUGAUGACAGGACCAACUCUGACUUCCCUUUAUAACUGGUGGCAUAGGGUGGCCCAGCACCUGUAUCUUCAGUGGUCUUCCCAAGUAUUGUUCACGAACAGCUCAAGGUGGAGGCUCCUAAAAUGUGAAAUGUCUGCUGAGUUCCAGCAGGGCUGGAGAAGCAUGCCUGUGGCUGAGAGGAUGGAUAAUUAUGCCACCAAGUAGUCCUUGCCCUGAGAGAGUCCAGCUGCUUCCACUACUCUGGAAGUCUUACCCUAGAGAGACAGCAAACAAGUACCAGCGUGUGACUGGGCAUAGGCCCAUUGGGAAGUGGAGGCCGGUAGGCAGGGAAGAGCUGGACCUUGAGAGCAGCCUCAGAUGCAGUGGCCACCUGCCCCCGUGGGUUUUGUUCAUUUCCUGAGGGUGUCCCAGUUGCUUUCCUGUCAGUGCCAAAUCAGCACCCAACCUACACUCUGGAGACUCUAGGUAAUGAUCUGAUAGCUUGUUAGUCCUGAGUUGUGGUCCUUACUAGUUCUGAUGGUCCAGGGAUGGUUGGUACAUAUCAGGCUGUAUAGGGGAUCCAGAGACUCUAAGCAAGGCCCAAGGAAUCAGGACUUCCCUCAUCUGAGGGGUAUUGGCAAAUCUACACCUGUCUGUAGACAUGACUCCCGGGACCUGGGAAAGAUUUAGAGUAUCACUAGGAUGUCCAGUGACUCUGUAGAAGACCAGCUCUUUAGGGCUUCAGUGUUGCCCCUUAUCCCCAGUCUCUCCUCCCACCCCACCCCUCACUGGGGCCCAAGGACUUCCCUCUGUGGUGGCUUCUCAGGUUGGUAUCACUACGUGGGGGGUCUCAAGUUAGAGGAGCCAGAUCUUCACAGGAUCUCCCUGUCCUGACUUCCACGCUGACAGAAUGCACUUGCAAUGGAUGUAUGAGGAAAAGGUAGAGGAUGUAUCAGGGAGGGAUAGCUCUGUGGCUCAGCUAAGAAAGCCAUUUCUAGAAAAGGCUUUGUUUCUGAAAGCAUAGCAAGGUGACAGGCCUUGUCACCCUAUUCACUCCAGGCUGGAUGGCUUCGAUGUCCCUUCCUUGUGGACUCCUCCUCCCAUCAUGACUGUAUUGUGGGGAUGUGCACUCCUGAGGUACCAUCUGGAGAGUAGCAUCCCAGGCCACCUCUCCUACAGGCCUAGGUUCUGAUGGCCCCGUCUCUUGUUGGGACUGUCUGCUUUACUGUUCUGCACUGUUUGUCUGCAUGGUUGGGUCCUUGUGCCUUUUUUCCUUGUCACCACCACACAGGAUUCUGUUACCCACUGCCCCCUUUUGUAUACCCCCUUACCCUUUCUCCCUCUGUCCUGUGUGUACUCACGUGUGCAGCCAUAAUGCCUCUACUGAGGCCAGCUGGCAAACACUUUAACCCACCAGGCCCUGAUUGCCCAUAGCCCCCGACUCUGUUGACUUGGUAACAGAGUCUUUUGUACAGGAUUUUGUUACAAUCUUAAGCAUAGGGAUCACUUAAUCCCCAUGGACCUGCAGCUAGUUUAGAAGCCCUGCAUCCCAGACAAGGGUAGCUUUGUGCAGACCAGCCUCUCCCACAGACCUCUUCCUCCUGGGUUCAGAUAUUUGUAGAAUCCGGGGAGAGACAGAUCUCCUUUAGCACAAGGCACUGGCCCCAGCAGGGAGGUUGCAGUCUGCAAAGCUCUGUGCAUGGCUCUCCUGGAGGAAGCCCUAGCCACAUGGUUUCCAGUGCUUGGCAAUACAUCUGGGUUUAGGGCCAUUGCCUGUCGUGUCUCCCCAUGUGUGCUGAAGGAAGUCGUUUGCCACUGUCCCUGCCUGCUCUCAUCACCUGCUCAGCCCUUCCUUGUCUGCUGGUGCUCAGACCAGAGUGCCAUUAAUCACCAGACUAAUGUCAGGACCCGCACAGGGCAGAGUGUGCUGAGGACUCAUGGCCUGUCGGCUCCCCGCUUCAGCCUUUCCUGUGGGGCUGGGCCUUCUGGGGCCGAGGUGGAAGAAGCUAUAGGCAGAUAGGUUCUCACUUUCCAGGGAUUACAUCUGGGGCUUUGCCCUAGAAGCCAGUAAUUGCAAAAGGCCUUAGCUUUGGGGCUGGGGAGAGACUUCCACUUUAGGUCCCAGGGAAAGGAGUGGGGUGCAUCCAGGCCCUGAACUGUUUGUUUCCACUCUGUUCUCUCCAAAAAUGGGCUUUCAGUGGUGGGUACCUUCCAAGGAACUGUAAUGUACAGACCACAGUGUAAAUAAAAAGUUGGCUUUUUGUGCCUGA
rnacentral:lncRNA from 1 species